GGACUACCGGGGUAUCUAAUCCCGUUUGCUCCCCUGGCUUUCGUGCCUCAGCGUCAGGAAAUGUCCAGAGACUCGCCUUCGCCACUGGUGUUCCACUUGAUAUCUACGCAUUUCACUGCUACACCAAGUAUUCCAGUCUCCCUUCCAUUCCUCGAGCCAGAUAGUAUCCGCUGCCGUUUCCGAGUUGAGCUCGGAGAUUUCACAACAGACUUACCCGACCGCCUACGCACCCUUUACGCCCAGUGAAUCCGAACAACGCUUGGGACCUCUGUAUUACCGCGGCUGCUGGCAC
rnacentral:rRNA from 2 species